GCGAGAGGAAGAUAGAAAUUCAUUAGUCUGUCAAUCCACUGAUAUUUGUGUGAUGUGAAUAUGCAUCCCGAAGGUUCUGAUCGC